rnacentral:rRNA from 1 species
AUUGAACGCUGGCGGCAGGCUUAACACAUGCAAGUCGAGCGGGGAAAGGUAGCUUGCUACCUGACCUAGCGGCGGACGGGUGAGUAAUGCUUAGGAAUCUGCCUAUUAGUGGGGGACAACAUCUCGAAAGGGAUGCUAAUACCGCAUACGUCCUACGGGAGAAAGCAGGGGACCUUCGGGCCUUGCGCUAAUAGAUGAGCCUAAGUCGGAUUAGCUAGUUGGUGGGGUAAAGGCCUACCAAGGCGACGAUCUGUAGCGGGUCUGAGAGGAUGAUCCGCCAAACUGGGACUGAGACACGGCCCAGACUCCUGCGGGAGGCAGCAGGGGGGAAUAUUGGACAAUGGGGGGAACCCUGAUCCAGCCAUGCCGCGUGGGGGAAGAAGGCCUUUUGGUUGUAAAGCACUUUAAGCGAGGAGGAGGCUACCGAGAUUAAUACUCUUGGAUAGUGGACGUUACUCGCAGAAUAAGCACCGGCUAACUCUGUG